GCCCAAACAUGGCAGGGAUGCUGACCACCCCUCGGCCUGUGGGAGGACGCACCCGCAAAUGUGGCUUUCCUUGGGGCAGUGAGUGACUCAGAUCCGGCCUCCAACCAUGGCACCUGUGGCACCUGCUCAGCUUCAAGGCAUGAAGAAAUCAACAGCAGGUCCUCGCUCUGGACCCUGCGGGCCAGGUGGUCGCCCAGGCCGGCCGUCACGAUCUGCCGCAGGACAAAACCCCAAUAUUCCUCUGUGGGUGGCAGAGUGAGCUGCCAAGAAGCCACCCCCUCAGAUGCCAGGGUGGCGCCGGGACUCGGUCCUGCCCCUGAUAUGACGAUGGAGUUGCCGGCUGGAAUUUUUGGAACGCUCCUCUGGCCCCUUCCUCCUGCCUGGAAAGCAGGUGUGAUUAGAUCUCCCAGUGUCUUCUCGGUCCCUGAGGUGGCCUCGAGGAUGGAAGCCACGUGCAAGGCUGGCAAGACAGCAGCCCAGAAAUGUGUGGGCCUCUGGAGACCCCGUGAAGCCAGGGUCAGACCCUACGUGGGAUCAGGGAACCCAAGGGUGAAACUGGGGAUGCCCAGGGGCAGCUGGUCCAGAUCAGAGCCAGGGACAGAGGGUGACGCGAGGGACCGCACUGGAAAGGAUGAGGCCGAGGUGUGCGCGCCUGCUCACUGGCGGGUCCUCAAAGGACCGCAGAGGCGCCAAGUACUGACUUAGGGUUACGAUCAGUCUCAGCGAGGUGAAUGUGUACACGUGGGACCUGUGAUAACUGGGGAAUGACUGUGCACAGAUAACGUCGAUGAGAAGAGCUUUAAACAUUAGUCCCGUUUGUGCUGGGGGCCGCCUGUGGCAGGAGUCCUGGGGAGCCCCAGAGGCGGGU